AAUCAACGCUGGCGGCGUGCCUCAGACAUGCAAGUCGAACGCGAAAGUUUCCUUCGGGAAGCGAGUAGAGUGGCGUCCGGGUGAGUAACACGUAGGUAAUCUACCUUUGGGUGGGGAAUAACAACCGGAAACGGUUGCUAAUACCGCAUAAUGCAGCGGCACCACAUGGUGACAGUUGUUAAAGCGGGGGAUCGCAAGACCUCGCGCCUAAAGAGGAGCCUGCGGCGGAUUAGCAGUUGGUAGGUAACGGCUUACCAAGGCAACGAUCCGUAGCCGGCCUGAGAGGGCGGUCGGCCACACUGACACUGAAAUACGGGUCAGACUCUACGGGAGGCAGCAGUCGGAAUUUUGGGCAAUGGCGAAAGCCUGACCCAGCAACGCCGCGU
rnacentral:rRNA from 1 species